rnacentral:hammerhead_ribozyme from 1 species
AUCUGGCUAACGAGUCACAAAAUAGGACGAAAUGUGCAUCCUGGAU